rfam:Candidatus Kaiserbacteria bacterium RIFCSPHIGHO2_01_FTLL_56_24 rifcsphigho2_01_scaffold_370, whole genome shotgun sequence.
CCCCUCGUAGUUCAAUGGACAGAACAUCGGACUUCUAAGCCGAUUAUGUAGGUUCGAUUCCUACCGAGGGGA